rnacentral:piRNA from 1 species
UCCUCUAGAGACUUUCCCCAGCGACCUAAC